AACAGGCGAAAUCGCCCCAUUCGCUCGGGAAUGCAAAGGUUUGACUUGACUGGCGGGCCACCUGUGACUAUAGAACC
rnacentral:sRNA from 1 species